CAAGGUUUGAUGUAUGGCCCUAUCUGGAGAAAUUUACAGAGGUAAUUACUAGCAAUUUUCAGUUUAAACCAGCCCAUGUCAUCAUAAUGUAUAUUCCUGUGUACCGUUCUGCAUUCCUUUCCUUUUGGCUUUUGUAAUUCCUUUACUGUGUCAUUGAGAAAGACCUUUCAAUUAUGAAAAUAACUUCUCUUAAAUUAGAUGAGACUGCUUUACCAGAUAAUAAUGGUAUAUGGGCCUGACAUUAGCUGAUAUUAAUUCUCAUCUGACUGACAUCUGACUGAACAUUUUUAUUUCCCCAAGUCUUUAUUGCUGAUGCUUUAAUGGUACUGAACUUUUAUGAUGUUAUAAAGUAAACUAAGAUAUUUGGUGCAGCCAUGUCUCUUACUGUUUUAUAUCAAAUUUUGAAGACCUGUGAAACUCAAUAAUACUUUUAAGAAAAUCUUGUUGAUAGAUGUAUUAAUCUUAAGUUGAAUCGUCAUUUGUGUUUCGUUUCUAAAAUGAAAAAUUGAUGAUGAAUGGCAUUACUGUCUGAAAGGCUUCGUGGUGUUGUCUUCUAUCAGGUGCAUGAUGAGCGCUUCCAGUAUUAAAUCUGGAUUCUUCAUUUCUGUAUAAGAACUUAUGCUAAUAGAGCAUAAUCAUAAGUUUGUGAUAUGACUUAUACUUUUAGAUAUGUUUGGAAAUGCUCUAUUUUUCAACUAGAUUUGCAACUGGUUGUCUGUUUCUUUUAAUGCACAACCUUGAUUAUGCAGGACAGAUGAGGAUGCUGUGGGGGAGGAAUUAUUUCUUUGAUUAGCUAGAUAUUGUGGUGACUGACUGAAGGAGAAAAAUGAAUUGGUACCUAUUGGAGGUCUGGGAAAUUUAGAUUAGAAACCAGAGUACUGUACUCAGAUCUUACCAAAGUAUUGUACUCUGGUCUCAGUACUAGCUUAAUUUUAUGGAUACUCAGGUCUCAAUACUAGCUUAAUUUUAUGGAUAGUUUGGUUUAUUUUGUGGAUGUAAUCAAAUUCACAAUUCAAUAUAGUAGUAAUUUAUAUUGAAAAGUGAAUUUGAGAUGUAUAUAUGGAUAGUUUGGUAUAUAUGUUGUGCAUGUAGUAAUUUGAAACUGUAAACGAAUUGUAUUAUUGAGAUGUAUUUUGAAUGGUUGAUACAUUUUGGCUUUAAAUUUAAAUGAAAAUUUAG
rnacentral:lncRNA from 1 species